rnacentral:rRNA from 1 species
UACGGAAGGUGCAAGCGUUAUCCGGAAUUAUUGGGCGUAAAGAGCUCGUAGGCGGUUUGUCACGUCUGCUGUGAAAUCCCGAGGCUCAACCUCGGGCCUGCAGUGGGUACGGGCAGACUGGAGUGCGGUAGGGGAGAAUGGAAUUCCUGGUGUAGCGGUGGAAUGCGCAGAUAUCAGGAGGAACACCGAUGGCGAAGGCAGUUCUCUGGGCCGUAACUGACGCUGAGGAGCGAAAGCGUGGGGAGCGAACAGG